ACGCUCGACACCUACGGAGGCAGCAGUGGGGAAUAUUGCACAAUGGGGGAAACCCUGAUGCAGCGACGCCGCGUGGAGGAAGAAGGUCUUCGGAUUGUAAACUCCUGUUGUUGGGGAAAAAGAGGAUGGUACCCAACAAGGAAGUGACGGCUAACUACGUGCCACAGCCGCGGUAAUCUGAGCGGGCUGGCAAGGC
rnacentral:rRNA from 1 species